GUCAGUUCAUAAUGCAUGCUCUCUCAUCCAUGGUUAACUGUGGAUGAGGGUGCCAACCUGGCCUGCAUUACUGAGACCUGGGUG